GCAUUAUAUUAUUACUCUAACAACAAUUAGUCCAUGGGUACAAGAAAUACCCAUAGAAUUCAUACAGAAUUUUGAAUGUGUUGACGCGGCAUAGAAUUAUUCGUUAUUUAAUUCCUUUUCAAUUUAAGCCAAAAACUGGUUCCAAAAGCAAAUUGGUUUGACCCUUAAAAUGAACCCAUCUUCAUUUCCCCCAAAUUACAAAGCAAGAGGAAAAUCGUCACUUUUUUCAUCGUCGAAUUUGUGGUCCUCCAAAGUCGGUUGACAUCUAGACCAGUGAUUGGCGUGCACCAUCUGAUGUAUUGUAAAGACGACAGUCCACCGAAACCCAACUUGGAAACUGUAUUUGAAGAUAACAGUUGAAUCGUAGAUGUUGAGCAAAGGUAUUUUGUUAUUUACUGUUUUAUACAUUUCUUUAUCAAAUUUAAGGUUAAUUUAUGGUUAAGCUAUCUUAGACUUGUUUGCACGAUUUGAAUGUUUUUUCCUCUUUAUUUUGUCAUAUAUUUGAAGUAUAUUGGUUAUGGAGCCUGAUUGUUGAUAAAGUUGAAGUCUUUGAUUUCUUGUUCUUCAUAAAUUUGUGAGUUUGUUUAUAAAUUGAUGGUUUUUCAGAAAUUUUGUGGCAAAAAGCUUUUUGAUUCCUAAUUAAAUAAUAGCAUAUCUUGCUCUAUUAUUGAUUGUUAUUCAGUUUACUAGGAUGUUAUUGAAAACAGCAUGUUGCUUCUUGCUUCUAAAUAGGGUAGCUCAUACAUGAAAUUUUGAGAAUUCAGCUUUUUUCUUUAUUUUGUUUUAGCAAUUUAUUGUGGAAAGUUUGAUGAAUUUGAUACUUUCGUUCUUUGUUUAUAUUGUGGAAAGCUUUCUGAUUUUGUGCCAAAUUUCAAAGCUAAAUGAUGGUGGAAGAAAUUAUCCUCGUUUUAUUGAAUUUGUAUUUGCAAGGUGGUAGUAAAUGUAUCUUAGUGAAAUGCAAUUAAGUCAAUGCUUUGUUUGUAGUGUACUGCUAAUAAUAAGUUCCAAUGUGGGAUUUCAUAAUUUAAUUGCAUUCAUGUGGUUUCUUCAACAAUAGUUGACUAGAAUGAGAAGAAGGAAUUUCGGAGUUUGUCACAGCUAUAGAAUUAACACUCACUACUUUGGACAAUACCAAACAAAACGUGGAUUCCCUUCAUGUAAAUGCGGAUUUCAAAAAUGUUUUGAGGUAAAACGAGAUACUGGAAACAAAGGGCGCUAGUUCUUCACGUGUAAUAAUGACUGUUGAUUUUUCAAUUGGGUGAAAAUGAAGAUUCAAGUGGGGAGUCAAGUAUCUUUAACGAAGAGGUGAAUCAUGAGCCCAAUGAGGAAUAUGAAGACUUGCCAAGAAUCUUCGACGGCCUAGCUCGAAUUUUCGAAAAAUGAGACAUGGACAUAACAUUGUACGUAAUAUUUCGCAAAGGAAAAAGGAAUUGUAGAAUGUGAUGGGAAAGAGAAGGGACCAACGUGAACGGGUAAUGUCAGUUUUUAUUUGCUAUAUGCUUUGUUCGUACCAUAAGACUUCUUGAUCAUAGUAGGCUCCAAUGUUCAAUACUUAAUUUGUCAAUGUCGUUCGAGCAUUGGACAUAAGUUUAAUAUUUUGCGAAUCAUUGUAAUAUAUUAACAAUUUGGAUAUCUGUUUCAUAUCAUGGUUUAUCUUGUGACUCAUUGUAAUAUAUUAACGGUUUGGAUAUAUGUUUCAUAUAUGUUACAAAA
rnacentral:lncRNA from 1 species